AGUCAAUAGGGAAAAACCUUAAAACGCACAUAAUAAUGGCAAUAAAUAAAAUUUUAAGUGCUUCAAUUAAUUAGCAACAUCCCUAAUUUUACAGUGAAUUUGUGUACUUUAUUUUAAUUAAUAACGAAACGACGAAAAGGCGAAUGACGGUGUCGCAGCCCAGAGCGCACGUUGAUUAUAGAGCAUGCUUUUGGAAUGAUGAAGACAAGAUUCAGAUCCAUCCUCUUGCAAGCGCUGGAGGUGCAUCACAUCUUUAUACCUCAUGUUGUCGCAGCUUGUUCCAUCCUCCACAACAUCUGCUCCUGUGCUGACGACACCGAAGCCCCAGAGGAUGAGCCAGAGGACGAUGUGGAGGUGAUGGUGAGGAGGAGGCUGGUUUGGAGGCCACCAGCUGUGCCCUCUGGCGGGACCAACUACCUGAUGAGGUUUUUGUCCUGGGUACCACCAGACCUUGAUUACUGGUAACAGCAUCCGUUGACUGCCAGCCCUGCAAACCCUGAAGAUGGAUGAUGCAGUCUACAGUGAAGAUGCAUCCUUAAACUCUGCAGACCAUCCUGCAAGAUGUUCCAAUCACCACCCAGAAAGCUCCAGUCCCAGGUCUCAGUCGAAGCCCCCCAUCCAUGUCGACUAUCUUUGUAAAUAGUUGGAAAUAAA